rnacentral:rRNA from 1 species
UACGUAGGGGGCGAGCGUUGUCCGGAUUUAUUGGGCGUAAAGCGCGCGCAGGCGGUGCGUUAAGUCUGGUGUGAAAGCUCCCGGCUCACCUGGGAGAGGGCACUGGAGACUGGCGGACUGGAGGGCGGCAGGAGGCCGGUGGAAUUCCCGGUGUAGUGGUGAAAUGCGUAGAGAUCGGGAGGAACACCAGUGGCGAAGGCGGCCGGCUGGGCCGUGCCUGACGCUGAGGCGCGAAAGCGUGGGGAGCGAACAGG